rnacentral:misc_RNA from 1 species
GAUGAAGAACGUAGCGAAAUGCGAUACGUAAUGUGAAUUGCAGAAUUCAGUGAAUCAUCGAAUCUUUGAACGCACAUUGCACUCUCUGGUAUUCCGGAGAGUAUGCUUGUUUGAGUAUCUGUAAACAUCUCAAAUCUCUCUUCAAUUGCUUCAAUUGGGUCGAGAGAAUUGGAUUUGAGCGAUCCCGACUCCUUCGUCAGAAAGAGGAGGGUCGCUUGAAAUGCAGGUGCAGCUGGACAUUCUUCUGAGCAAAAAGCAUAUCUAUUUAGUCCUGUCAAACGGAUUAUUACUUUUGCUUCAGCUAAUAUAAAGGUUGAAUGAACUACCAACGCUGAUUGCAGGAAAACAUGUUCGUUUAUUCGGACUUGUAAACUCGAUCUCAAAUCAAGUAAGACUACCCGCUGAACUUAAGCAUAUCAAUAAGCGGAGGA